CACAGUGGUAGCUCAGUGGUUAAGGUGUUGGUUUACUACUUAGACGGUCAUGAGUUCAAACCUCAGCACUGUCA